rnacentral:lncRNA from 1 species
UAAAUUAAAGUACAUAAUCUCAAACUGAUAACAAAUGUGAAAAUAAUUUAAAGAGUUUGAAAUGAACUGCCAAGAAAAUAGCAUUGGUAAUUCAGUUUGUUUAAAAUCGGGAUAACCCCAAAAAGGUUUAACGUCACCCAAUUGACAUUAUUUCCGAUAUACUGAACAUUUGUCAAAACAUAUCGUGUAGAUUUAUAGUUUUAUAACCCAGAAGUACCUGGAAAUAUUUUAAAUAUUUAAAGACAAUCGCAGUGUCUUCCUUUGCGAGCUAUCUUUGCCGGUACUAUUAGAUUAAUAUAUUAUAAUGUCGCACUCGUGACUUCAUUAGUGCCAUAACCCUAAAAUCGCAAACUUUUCAGAAGACCAAAAACAAGAUGUUAGGUGAACUCUUCAUUUUUUUUUUUCUCAACUUCCUUAUCUACGUUAACAAAAGUCUGCACUCAUGUUGAUUAUGUGUGUAGCUAUCUAACGCUAGUAUUUACUAUUAGUUAUUUUCAUUACUUUACCCUGAAAUUCACCCUUAAAAUAUAAUAAAGCGCUAUUGCUUCUUCUUGAUGUGCUUAUUGGUGAUCAUCGUGGCAAUAUUUACCUUACUGUUGGAGAACUGUAGUCUCCAACCAAAUAAUUUUAUUUCACAAACAAUAAAUAUACCGCGCCGCCUCUGACAAAACAAAUAACUUCAUUACACAGAGUCAGUAUAAAGAGGGACAGUAGAACCACUCUCCGAAAAA